CCAGCCACUGAUCCUUCUGAUCUUCACAAUUUCACUCCCUGUUUUCCCCUCAGUACCCUCUUCUUCUUCUCCAUUAUCACUACCUGUACUUAUUCCAUGUAAAACCUUACUUUCUUUGAAUCUUUCUUCAACGCUAGGCACCCCAUGCAAGACGUUCUUGACUAAAAAAUCCAAGCCCCUACAGUUCUUGAAGAAAGGAUGCUUUAACAGCUUCUCAGCGGAGGGCCUCUUUGAUGGAUCUUGAUCAAGACAAGAAGC
rnacentral:misc_RNA from 1 species